rnacentral:rRNA from 1 species
ACGUAGGGUGCGAGCGUUAAUCGGAAUUACUGGGCGUAAAGCGUGCGCAGGCGGUUUUGUAAGACAGGCGUGAAAUCCCCGGGCUCAACCUGGGAAUGGCGCUUGUGACUGCAAGGCUAGAGUACGGCAGAGGGGGGUAGAAUUCCACGUGUAGCAGUGAAAUGCGUAGAGAUGUGGAGGAAUACCGAUGGCGAAGGCAGCCCCCUGGGCUAGCACUGACGCUCAGGCACGAAAGCGUGGGGAGCAAACAGGA